rnacentral:rRNA from 1 species
AUGGGUCAGCGACUUAUAUUCUGUAGCAAGGUUAACCGAAUAGGGGAGCCGAAGGGAAACCGAGUCUUAACUGGGCGUUAAGUUGCAGGGUAUAGACCCGAAACCCGGUGAUCUAGCCAUGGGCAGGUUGAAGGUUGGGUAACACUAACUGGAGGACCGAACCGACUAAUGUUGAAAAAUUAGCGGAUGACUUGUGGCUGGGGGUGAAAGGCCAAUCAAACCGGGAGAUAGCUGGUUCUCCCCGAAAGCUAUUUAGGUAGCGCCUCGUGAAUUCAUCUCCGGGGGUAGAGCACUGUUUCGGCAAGGGGGUCAUCCCGACUUACCAACCCGAUGCAAACUGCGAAUACCGGAGAAUGUUAUCACGGGAGACACACGGCGGGUGCUAACGUCCGUCGUGAAGAGGGAAACAACCCAGACCGCCAGCUAAGGUCCCAAAGUCAUGGUUAAGUGGGAAACGAUGUGGGAAGGCCCAGACAGCCAGGAUGUUGGCUUAGAAGCAGCCAUCAUUUAAAGAAAGCGUAAUAGCUCACUGGUCGAGUCGGCCUGCGCGGAAGAUGUAACGGGGCUAAACCAUGCACCGAAGCUGCGGCAGCGACACUAUGUGUUGUUGGGUAGGGGAGCGUUCUGUAAGCCUGUGAAGGUGGCCUGUGAGGGUUGCUGGAGGUAUCAGAAGUGCGAAUGCUGACAUAAGUAACGAUAAAGCGGGUGAAAAGCCCGCUCGCCGGAAGACCAAGGGUUCCUGUCCAACGUUAAUCGGGGCAGGGUGAGUCGACCCCUAAGGCGAGGCCGAAAGGCGUAGUCGAUGGGAAACAGGUUAAUAUUCCUGUACUUGGUGUUACUGCGAAGGGGGGACGGAGAAGGCUAUGUUGGCCGGGCGACGGUUGUCCCGGUUUAAGCGUGUAGGCUGGUUUUCCAGGCAAAUCCGGAAAACCAAGGCUGAGGCGUGAUGACGAGGCACUACGGUGCUGAAGCGACAAAUGCCCUGCUUCCAGGAAAAGCCUCUAAGCAUCAGGUAACAUCAAAUCGUACCCCAAACCGACACAGGUGGUCAGGUAGAGAAUACCAAGGCGCUUGAGAGAACUCGGGUGAAGGAACUAGGCAAAAUGGUGCCGUAACUUCGGGAGAAGGCACGCUGAUAUGUAGGUGAAGCGACUUGCUCGUGGAGCUGAAAUCAGUCGAAGAUACCAGCUGGCUGCAACUGUUUAUUAAAAACACAGCACUGUGCAAACACGAAAGUGGACGUAUACGGUGUGACGCCUGCCCGGUGCCGGAAG